rnacentral:rRNA from 1 species
UACGAAGGGGGCUAGCGUUGUUCGGAAUUACUGGGCGUAAAGCGCACGUAGGCGGACUAUUAAGUCAGGGGUGAAAUCCCGGGGCUCAACCUCGGAACUGCCUUCGAUACUGGCGAUCUUCGAGUCCGGGAGAGGUGAGUGGAACUCCGAGUGUAGAGGUGAAAUUCGUAGAUAUUCGGAAGAACACCAGUGGCGAAGGCGGCUCACUGGACUGGGUAUUGACGCUGAGG